rnacentral:lncRNA from 1 species
GUGACUGAUUUUAAUUAUUUAAUUUUAUAUGGGACAACUGCUCUGCAUACAAACCAUUAGGGCCACAACCCUGCAAGCAUACAAAGAACCCUUUAAGGUGCAUAGUGUCCUAAGAAGUAGCUUCAGUUUAGUUACACUCAACAACCAAUUUCAACCACAUCAACUGCAACAGUUACCAUGGGGUUACCUCCUAUAAAUAUUAAUAAAGAAAUAGCACAGGGAAAUACUCCUAUAGCAUUAAGAAGCAAGGAACACGCCAGAGGCACGUGAGCAGCAUAACUUUCAGACGCAAUAAACCUGCGUUUACCUUUAGAGUCCUCUCUAGUAUUUUAACACCAUUAGGGCAGAGCCAGGGCAGAGCUCUGUCCGAAGCGUUUCAGAAGCGCUUGCACUAACAGCAGCAGUUCAGAGGCGCUCAGAAGGGCCCCCGGCUUCCAGCACGACUACUGCCGGCUGCACAGCACGAGCAGCUUCCGAGCAGCUCGCUGUAGCCGCGCUCCCUGGUGCUGAUUAAGCCACAACCCCCGGCAGCCCCAUGCCCCCUCCGUCCCCCCCAGCAGCCCCUCACCUGCCCGCUCGGCCCCGCCGCGCACCGGGCGCUUUGCUGCUGGCGGCGCCGGGCGGGGCGGGCCCCGGGGGCGGCACCGGCAGCGGGGGAGGCGCCCGGGGGCCGGGCCGGGGGCUCCGCGGUGUGCGGGGGGCCGAGGUGUCGGGGGGUGUCUGGGGCUGCAGCCAGUCCUGCCUCUUUUGUGUUAGAAAUAUAAGCUAUAUGGAAGCCUGCAGGUCUGCGAGGAGGGAUGGAAACGCAAGCUGCAGUGCUGUUGGAAGCUACAGAGAGUUUAGGAAAAAGUUUACGUGUGAAAGUGAGAAGGGAAUCUCGAGUCAUGGAAACAAUCCUGACCAUUUAAAAGGAAAUAAACGAUGGUAAAAGUCACAAUGGCACAGCGAGCUUGCUAGCAAAAGCACUAACCAACAAGUGCUUCAGUUUAAGGCACUUAAAACUGGAUUACAUGGAACUACCAGAUGAAUUGAAACCUACUAUAAUGCUCUUCCACACACUGACAGGUUUCUUUGCUACCCAAUCUCAGUUCCACCUCAUCUUCCUCUUGACAAAACAUUAUUACCAAUUACUUUAGGAAUAAGAUCUCUGAAGUCUUAGAUCUCACCAUAUCUCACUAGUGUUAAUUGGAAAGAUUUACAGUAAAAUAAAAAUGCUGGUAGUGAUUCAGUAAGCAGGUCUAAUAUGUCCUACAUGUAAAACAAAAAUUAGUCUGGUCACC